GCCAGCAUGGCACAGUGGUUUGAGCACUGGACUAUGACUCUGGAGACCAGGGUUCAAUUCCCUGCUCAGCCA
rnacentral:tRNA from 1 species